rnacentral:rRNA from 1 species
AUACGGAGGAUACAAGCGUUAUCCGGAUUUAUUGGGUUUAAAGGGUGCGUAGGCGGUCUUUUAAGUCAGUAGUGAAAUCUUACAGCUUAACUGUUAAAACUGCUAUUGAUACUGAUUGACUAGAGUAAAAUUGGAGUAACUGGAAUGUGUGGUGUAGCGGUGAAAUGCAUAGAUAUCACACAGAACACCAAUCGCGAAGGCAGGUUAUUAAAUUUUUACUGACGCUGAGGCACGAAAGCGUGGGGAGC